GACGAACGCUGGCGGCGUGCUUAACACAUGCAAGUCGAACGGAAAGGCCCUGCUUUUGUGGGGUGCUCGAGUGGCGAACGGGUGAGUAACACGUGAGUAACCUGCCCUUGACUUUGGGAUAACUUCAGGAAACUGGGGCUAAUACCGGAUAGGAGCUCCUGCUGCAUGGUGGGGGUUGGAAAGUUUCGGCGGUUGGGGAUGGACUCGCGGCUUAUCAGCUUGUUGGUGGGGUAGUGGCUUACCAAGGCUUUGACGGGUAGCCGGCCUGAGAGGGUGACCGGCCACAUUGGGACUGAGAUACGGCCCAGACUCCUACGGGAGGCAGCAGUGGGGAAUAUUGCACAAUGGGCGGAAGCCUGAUGCAGCAACGCCGCGUGCGGGAUGACGGCCUUCGGGUUGUAAACCGCUUUCAGCAGGGGCGAAGCUUGUGGUGACGGUACCUGCAGAAGAAGCACCGGCUAACUACGUG
rnacentral:rRNA from 1 species